rnacentral:rRNA from 1 species
GUGGGGAAUCUUGCGCAAUGGGCGAAAGCCUGACGCAGCCAUGCCGCGUGAAUGAUGAAGGUCUUAGGAUUGUAAAAUUCUUUCACCGGGGACGAUAAUGACGGUACCCGGAGAAGAAGCCCCGGCUAACUUCGUGCCAGCAGCCGCGGUAAUACGAAGGGGGCUAGCGUUGCUCGGAAUUACUGGGCGUAAAGGGCGCGUAGGCGGACAGUUUAGUCAGAGGUGAAAGCCCAGGGCUCAACCUUGGAAUUGCCUUUGAUACUGGCUGUCUUGAGUGCGGGAGAGGUGAGUGGAACUCCGAGUGUAGAGGUGAAAUUCGUAGAUAUUCGGAAGAACACCAGUGGCGAAGGCGACUCACUGGCCCGUUACUGACGCUGAGGCGCGAAAGCGUGGGGAGCAAACAGGAUUAGAUACCCUGGUAGUCC